UACGGAGGGGGCUAGCGUUGUUCGGAAUUACUGGGCGUAAAGCGCACGUAGGCGGCUUUGUAAGUUAGAGGUGAAAGCCCGGGGCUCAACUCCGGAAUUGCCUUUAUGACUGCAUCGCUAGAAUUGUGGAGAGGUAAGUGGAAUUCCGAGUGUAGAGGUGAAAUUCGUAGAUAUUCGGAAGAACACCAGUGGCGAAGGCGACUUACUGGACACAUAUUGACGCUGAGGUGCGAAAGCGUGGGGAGCAAACAGG
rnacentral:rRNA from 1 species